AUACGUAGGGGGCAAGCGUUGUCCGGAAUCAUUGGGCGUAAAGCGCGUGUAGGCGGUCCGGUAAGUCGGCUGUGAAAGUCCAGGGCUCAACCCUGGGAUGCCGGUCGAUACUGCCGGACUAGAGUUCGGAAGAGGCGAGUGGAAUUCCCGGUGUAGCGGUGAAAUGCGCAGAUAUCGGGAGGAACACCAAUGGCGAAGGCUGCGCGCUGGGACGUUACGGACGCUGCGACGCGAAAGCGUGGGGAGCAAACAGGAUUAGAUACCCUGGUAGUCCACGCCGUAAACGAUGGGCACUAGGUGGGGGAGGUGUCGACUCCUCCCGUGCCGGAGCUAACGCACUAAGUGCCCCGCCUGGGGAGUACGGCCGCAAGGCUAAAACUCAAAUGAAUUGACGGGG
rnacentral:rRNA from 1 species